rnacentral:rRNA from 1 species
UACGAAGGGUGCAAGCGUUACUCGGAAUUACUGGGCGUAAAGCGUGCGUAGGUGGUUCGUUAAGUCUGAUGUGAAAGCCCUGGGCUCAACCUGGGAAUUGCAUUGGAUACUGGCGGGCUAGAGUGCGGUAGAGGAAGGUGGAAUUCCCGGUGUAGCAGUGAAAUGCGUAGGGAUCGGGAGGAACACCAGUGGCGAAGGCGGCCUUCUGGACCAAUACUGACGCUCAUGCACGAAAGCGUGGGGAGCAAACAGG